rnacentral:rRNA from 1 species
AUAUUGGACAAUGGGCGAAAGCCUGAUCCAGCCAUGCCGCGUGUGUGAAGAAGGUCUUCGGAUUGUAAAGCUCUUUUACCAGGGAUGAUAAUGACAGUACCUGGAGCAUAAGCUCCGGCUAACUCCGUGCCAGCAGCCGCGGUAAUACGGAGGGAGCUAGCGUUGUUCGGAAAUACUGGGCGUAAAGCGCACGUAGGCGGCGCCGUAAGUCAGGGGUGAAAUCCCGGGGCUCAACCCCGGAACUGACUUUGAAACUGCAGUGCUAGAAUCUUGGAGAGGUCAGUGGAAUACCGAGUGUAGAGGUGAAAUUCGUAGAUAUUCGGAAGAACACCAGUGGCGAAGGCGACUGACUGGACAAGUAUUGACGCUGAGGUGCGAAAGCGUGGGGAGCAAACAG